GAUGAACGCUGGCGGCGUGCCUAAUACAUGCAAGUCGAGCGAACAGACGAGGAGCUUGCUCCUUUGACGUUAGCGGCGGACGGGUGAGUAACACGUAGGUAACCUACCUAUAAGACUGGGAUAACUUCGGGAAACCGGAGCUAAUACCGGAUAAUAUUUCGAACCGCAUGGUUCGAUAGUGAAAGAUGGCUUUGCUAUCACUUAUAGAUGGACCUGCGCCGUAUUAGCUAGUUGGUAAGGUAACGGCUUACCAAGGCAACGAUACGUAGCCGACCUGAGAGGGGGAUCGGCCAAACUGGAACUGAGACCCGGGCCAGAACCCCACGGGAGGCAGGAGGAGGGAAUCUUCCGAAAUGGGCGAAAGCCUGAGGGGGAAACCCCGCGGGAGUGAUGAAGGGUUUCGGAUCGUAAAACUCUGUUAUUAGGGAAGAAAAAACGUUUAAGUAACUGUGCACCUCUGGACGGUACCUAAUCAGAAAGCCACGGCUAACUACGG
rnacentral:rRNA from 1 species